UUUUAUUUAUUUUUCUCUGUUGUUUUCUUUUUUCUUUCUUUUUUUUUUUAAGAUAAGGUCUUGCUCUGUUGUCCAGGUUGCAGUGCAGUAGUGCAAUUACAGCUCACUGUAGUCUCAAUCCCCUGGGCUCAAGUGAUCGUCCCUCCUCAGUCUACCAAGUAGCUGGGACUACAGGCAUGCACCACCACACCCAACUAAUUUUUGGACUUGUUGUAGAGGAAAAAGAGGUGAGAAGAGGUGAAAUGACUUGCCCAAGGCUGUCUACUGAGGGAGGGACCCGCUCACUAUGCAGCUUUGCAGUGGCCCAUCACCAAUCCCUGGACAAGUCAGGCUCACAGACCAGCUCAGCUAUAAGCAGAACCAAGUCCAGAACCUGCCUUACUUUCUUCAUGGGGUUCAAUGAGAAGAAGCCCCUUCACACUGGGUAAGGAGCGCCAUCCCGUCAAGCACUCCAGGUGGGGGGACUUCUAAGCAGCCUGGAGAAAGCCUGACCUCAGGGCAGUUUUUUUUGUUUUUUUUUGUUUUUUUUUUUCAGCAGACCCACCACCAAUACCCUGCUUAUGAAUAAAAGCAUUUAAAACAUUGAUAUCCUUGAUUUCUCCAGGUCAUCUGUCAGGCUUGCCACCUUUUGGGCCACUGAAGGUUUGUGACCCACAGCAAAGGCAGAGGCAAACCACCCCACCCUUUCUCAGUUGGGGCUGAGAAAGAGCUGGGACCCUGGCAGCCCACACACAGUCUCUUCAUAAGCUGUAAUAAAUCACUUAUACUCCUUCUCCCAACCGCCCAGCUAGGCUUCCUACUUAUGAGGUUUUUCCUCUUCUAGAUUGUUCUACUAAGUGUUCAUUUAAAAAACGCUUUUGUUGUCUACCUUGGGGAAGGGUUUCACAUCACAGACUGUCCUUCCCCAGUCCAGAAUGUUCCAUCUGCUGCCAUUCAAAAGGAAUCAAUAAAUCUCUUUAAAGUCUAAUAAUGUUAGAAUUUUUGGUAUUUUUCUGAACUGCCCAUUCCUUGGGAAUUUACAGAACUCCAGCUCAGAAGCUCCCAAAUCACAGAGACGUUAGGAAAGGGCAUGGAGGGAGGAUCGGGAAAUCUUGCUAGCUUGGGAUUUGGGGAAAGGAACAAUCCUUCUUGGUUUUGGUUUCCUCCUCUGCAAAACAGGAUAUUGAUAAUAAUAGUAGUAACGGUAAUAACUGUCAUCAUUAGCUACCCAGCAUACCACUGCCAUUUGUACUGAGGAUCGACUGUACCCACAUGGCUUAUCAGGUACAUAAGUGUUGACCAACUGUCACCAACAAAUUUUGUAUAGGAAAAGCCACCUCUUUCUUAGAGAUACUAAUACAUAUUAUGCCCAUGGCCUGUCACAGACAGUCUGUUACACGUUGGUAGAUAGUCUCAUGAGGGGCCACUCGGGAGGAUAUCCAGGCUCUCGGUAGACAGAGAGUCUCCCCGGUUCUCCUGGUAGGCUCGCAGGCCUCCUCCCCAUUCAUCAGCCCUGUACAGCUGAGGAACAUGGCUCUCUUCAUACUAGUGCAGUUUGGUAAUCCUUUACACUUAUGUUUUGCUUUCUUCUUCACAAUUUAACAAGCACCUGCAAAGUGCAAGAAUUCCUGUAACUUACAUUUGUAUAGUGCUUUGCAGUGUUCAGAACUAUCUGAUAAGAUGAAUUCGUUUCUGCAAAGCAUUCAGCACAGUGCCUGGCACAUAGGGCGCUCACUAAGGAUUAGGUCAUCAUCACUGCAUUUCAUAGGCAACACCAUGGGGUGCCUGUUGUUAUUCCCACUUUACAGCUGAAGAAACUGAGGCUUAAAACUACUGAGUCAUUUGCUGAAAGACCACCUCAGUGGAAACAGUAGACAGAAUUAUAGUUCAAAUUAAAGAUUCCUAGUCUAAGCUUUUUCUGUUUGCUCUUAAUUUUUAAAAAUAAAUGUUAUUGGGGUCAAAUUUACCUUCAAUAAAACACACACCCAUUUGAAGUAUACAGUUCAACAAGUUUUGACAAAGGUACAGUGAAGGCAUAGCACUUUUCCAUCACCGCCCCCACCACCCCAUUUUUUAUGCCUCUGGGCAGUUAAUCUUCAUUCCCACCCUGGUUCCAGGCAACCACUCUUCUGCUUUUUGCCACUAUAUAUUCGAAUUGUCUUUUCUAGAUUUCCAUGUAAGUGGAAUUGUAUAGGAGUAUCUACUCUUGUGUCUGGCUUCUCUACACUCAGCAUGUUUUGAGAUUCAUCAUGGCGUUGCAGGCAUUUGUGGUUUAUUCCUUUUCAUCAGUGAGUUGUAUUCCGUUGCAUGGACAUACCAUAAUUUGUUUAUCCAUCUGCCUGUUGAUGGAUGUUUGAGUUGUUUUCAGUUUUUGAUUAUUAUGAAUAAAGCUGCUAUAAACAUUUGUGUAUAAAUCUUUGUAUGGACAUAUUUUCAUUUCUCGUGGGUGCAGCUAGGAGUGCAAUUGCUGGCUUACCUGUAAAGUAUAUGUUUAUAAGAAGCUGCCAAAUUAUUUCCAAAAUGGUUGUAUCAUCUUGUCUAAUCUUUUAAACAAAACCCUGUGCCACAGGGAGGAUAAGUAUUUUCUUUUAACAUGAGGAAACUAAGGCCAGAGGGUUAUGAUUUGCUUCACAGCU
rnacentral:lncRNA from 10 species